rnacentral:rRNA from 1 species
UACGUAGGGGGCAAGCGUUGUCCGGAAUUAUUGGGCGUAAAGAGCGUGUAGGCGGUCCGGUAAGUCGGCUGUGAAAGUCCAGGGCUCAACCCUGGGAUGCCGGUCGAUACUGGCGAUCUCGAGUUCGGGAGAGGUGAGUGGAACUGCGAGUGUAGAGGUGAAAUUCGUAGAUAUUCGCAAGAACACCAGUGGCGAAGGCGGCUCACUGGCCCGAUACUGACGCUGAGGUGCGAAAGCGUGGGGAGCAAACAGG